rnacentral:rRNA from 1 species
UACGGGGGGGGCAAGCGUUGUUCGGAAUUACUGGGCGUAAAGGGCUCGUAGGUGGCCAACUAAGUCAGACGUGAAAUCCCUCAGCUUAACUGGGGAACUGCGUCUGAUACUGGAUGGCUUGAGUUUGGGAGAGGGAUGCGGAAUUCCAGGUGUAGCGGUGAAAUGCGUAGAUAUCUGGAGGAACACCGGUGGCGAAGGCGGCAUUCUGGACCGACAUUGACGCUGAGGAGCGAAAGCCAGGGGAGCAAACGGG